rfam:Picea glauca, whole genome shotgun sequence.
ACAUGCUUACAACAUAGCAUUAAUGCAUCAAAUUGCAUUAAAACUCCGUAGUUAAGUGCACUCGGGAUAGAAUAGUACUAGGAUGGGUGAUCACCCACAAAGUCUUAGUAUUUUACAUGCC